UUCCGGUUGAUCCUGCCGGACCUGACUGCUAUCGGAUUGAUAUAAGCCAUGCGAGUCAUUGUAUGCAAUACAAGGCAGACGGCUCAGUAACGCGUAGUCAACCUACCCUAUGGACGGGAAUAACCUCGGGAAACUGAGAAUAAUGCCCGAUAGAACAUUAUGCCUGGAAUGGUUUAUGUUCCAAAUGAUUUAUCGCCAUAGGAUGGGACUGCGGCCUAUCAGUUUGUUGGUGAGGUAAUGGCCCACCAAGACUAUUACAGGUACGGGCUCUGAGAGGAGUAGCCCGGAGAUGGGUACUGAGACACGGACCCAGGCCCUAUGGGGCGCAGCAGGCGAGAAAACUUUGCAAUGUGCGAAAGCACGACAAGGUUAAUCCGAGUGGUUUCUGCUAAGGNAACCUUUAUGACAGUCCUAGAAACACUGUUGAAUAAGGGGUGGGCAAGUUCUGGUGUCCAGCCGCCGCGUGUUAAACCAGCACCCCAAGUNGUCAGGAUGAUUAUUGGGCCUAAAGCAUUCGUAGCCGGCUCUGAUAAGUUUUCGGUUAAAUCUAUACGCUCAACGUAUAGUGCUGCCGGGAAUAUUGAGA
rnacentral:rRNA from 1 species